rnacentral:lncRNA from 1 species
AUGUGGCAUCGACCUCGAACCCACGUGUGCUGUUGUGUCCUCUGUUCAAAUCAUACACUUCAGUAUUUGUCUAGAGUAUAUGAGCAUUUCCUGUAUUGUUGUUCGCCUCAGGGAAUCUACCCAGAGGCUGUGAGUGACCUGGUGGUGAAGAAACCCAAGUCGGUGGGGAAGACUGGAGUCAAGUCCACACUCUACAGAGCGUAUGCUGAGGGAAUAUCCAGCUUGGAGUUGGUACCAUCUCAGCUGUGCUGACCUGGAAGAUGUCAGCAAUGACCUGUUCUUUAAGGCCAGUUGCUACUCUACAACAGUAGAUGAAAAACUCAUCAAUGACUGGAAUCUUCCUUGAAGGGCGUGGUGUUGGAAUCGCCUCUUGUCCAAUCCUCUGUGCUUUGCUCCAAUAAAGAAUAUAUUGUGUUGAGGGGCAAAACAGACUGAGUGCACCUACAAAAAAAGAAGACAAAUCAGUCUUCAUUACCAUUCAUUCGUAUUCACCCUUUCUUUUUAUUGUAUUGUUAUUCUGUAUACUUAAGUUUAUUUAUAUUUCUUAUUAUUAAAUUUAUUUGUACUGUUUUCUGUUUUUCUUUUUUAUGUAUUAACUAUAGGUUGAGUGUUGUACAUAGAGUAAAAACCAAAGUAAAAUUCCUCGUUUGUUCGCAAACCUGGCCAAUAAAGCUGAAUCUGAAUUAAUAUGCAACCCCAGUUUAACAGUACGUCUGAUGUUGAUUGAAUUUUUUAACGUUAACCAUGCCAUGUUUGGCAAAAUUAUACAAUAGCCCAACAAGUGUUGAACACAAAUAACAGACAUAACAGCUAGUUAGCACACAUCUACUUACCGGCAGGGGGGCGUGUCGCGUAGUCAUGUUCCCCGGUACCUCUCCGGUCCGUUUGUGUUUUGUCCUCUCCUUCAGCUUUUCGAGCUGACACCCGUUUAUACACGUGUGUUUUUUUCGGGGCUGUGGUGUAGCGGUUCCAGUCAAAACGACUAGGAACAGCUCCAGUAUUCAGCGUAGCACUCCCGUCGUCAUAAUCAGCCGCUGAGAAAUGCCGACUACAGACCAGUGUACUCCCCUUCUGAAUUACGAAAUUAACUCCUUCAUUCCGUCUGAUCGCCACUGCUGUAUUGGGUAUUAUUUGGGAAGUCGUGGAAAUGUAAAUAUGGUUGUUUUUGUUUUGAAUUGGCGCAUAGAGGUACACAACAGAAGCUUUUGUUUUUUGACCGCGCCAUUGUCAAAUAUCAUGGAC